rnacentral:rRNA from 1 species
UAGGGAAUCUUCCACAAUGGGCGAAAGCCUGAUGGAGCAGCGCCGCGUGUGUGAUGAAGGCUUUCGGGUCGUAAAGCACUGUUGUAUGGGAAGAACAGCUAGAAUAGGAAAUGAUUUUAGUUUGACGGUACCAUACCAGAAAGGGACGGCUAAAUACGUGCCAGCAG